rnacentral:lncRNA from 1 species
CUCAAUCAGCUCUCUGUGGGCACUCUUUGGUUUUUCUUUGUGAAAGUACCUUAAGUUGAAGCAUGGAAAACAAUUUAUCCAUGUGCACUUUAAGAAAAAAAAACAGGGAAAUAUGAAUGUACUGAAAUACCUCCCCCAAUUUUUCAUCAAGUUCUUUGAUACUGCACAAGAUUCAUCUGUUAAGUUGCACUGCUAGGCUUCCCAAGUUUGGGAAUUCUAUGAUCAUAGGUACUCUAAACAGGUUAGAAUUAAGUUAGGGUUGGGUUAGAUCUAGUGUUAGAGUUAGAGUGAGUUUUGUUAAAAUUCAUUUGAUACUUGGCAUAAUUCAUCUUUUACAUAGCCUUACUAUUUUCCCCAGGUUUAGGCCUUAUCCCUUCAAUGGUUUGCUGUCAG